rnacentral:rRNA from 1 species
UUUUUAACUUAGAUUUGGGUGGCGGACGGGUGAGUAACGCGUAAAGAACUUGCCUCACAGCUAGGGACAACAUUUAGAAAUGAAUGCUAAUACCUGAUAUUAUGAUUUUAAGGCAUCUUAGAAUUAUGAAAGCUAUAAGCACUGUGAGAGAGCUUUGCGUCCCAUUAGCUAGUUGGAGAGGUAACAGCUCACCAAGGCGAUGAUGGGUAGCCGGCCUGAGAGGGUGAACGGCCACAAGGGGACUGAGACACGGCCCUUACUCCUACGGGAGGCAGCAGUGGGGAAUAUUGGACAAUGGACCGAGAGUCUGAUCCAGCAAUUCUGUGUGCACGAUGAAGUUUUUCGGAAUGUAAAGUGCUUUCAGUUGGGAAGAAAGAAAUGACGGUACCAACAGAAGAAGUGACGGCUAAAUACGUGCCAGCAGCCGCGGUAAUACGUAUGUCACGAGCGUUAUCCGGAUUUAUUGGGCGUAAAGCGCGUCUAGGUGGUUAUGUAAGUCUGAUGUGAAAAUGCAGGGCUCAACUCUGUAUUGCGUUGGAAACUGUAUAACUAGAGUACUGGAGAGGUAAGCGGAACUACAAGUGUAGAGGUGAAAUUCGUAGAUAUUUGUAGGAAUGCCGAUGGGGAAGCCAGCUUACUGGACAGAUACUGAC